GGCACGGCUGACAGCACUUGCAGGAUGAGAGUUAAUAUAAUAAGUUUAUUAACUUGCUUGACUAGGUCUUAUAAAAUUCUGGAUAAAGCUUAUUAUGAAAACUUUAUAUCCAUAGGUCUCGACCAAAUCUUGUGCCAGCAGUCGCGGUAAGACAAGGGAGACGAGUGUUAUUCAUCUUUAACAGGUAUAUAGGGUACCUAGACGGUGUACAAAGGCUUAUAUAAGUACCUGCUACACUUGAGUUUGAUAUGUGAGAGGAAUAUAUCAGAAUUAUUGGUGGAGAGAUGAAAUUUAGUAAUACCAAUAGGACUGAUAACGGCGAAGGCAAACCUCUAUGUACAUGUAUUUUGCAUUAUUAUUCGUAUAGAUAAUAAUAAUUUUUACUAAUCAAUACGAAAAGUAAAAAACCAAAGUACUAUAACUGACGUUGAGGGACGAAGGCUCAGACAGUGAAGAGGAUUAGAUACCCCCGUAGCCUGGGCAGACAAUGAUGAGUGCCAUAGGUUGGCUUUAUGUUGAACUAUAAAUGAAAGUGGAAGCACUCCACCUCAAGAGUAAUGUGGCAACGCAGGAACUGAAAUCAUUAGACCGUUUCUGAAACCAGUAGUGAAGUAUGUUAUUUAAUGUGAAAAUUGCCCA
rnacentral:rRNA from 1 species